GCUAAGUACUUAUUCUUUUUCCUCUGAUAUUGGAAGUCAUCUAAGUGUAAAUAAUCAUGCCAAUUUAUUCUAAUAAUGCAAAAGUUUACUUUUGGUGGGGGAAUGGAGAGAUGGGAAUUCAGGCCCUCCAGGAUAGUUAAGGAUUUUCCCUUUCUUCUGGUGUGCUCUGGGACAAAAGCAGAACAGCCUUGGAACUGGGGAAAGAGAGAUGGUAGGAGAAGAAACUGGCAGCUGGCCUGCAAGAGAUCCUCCAGAUUGAGAUCUGGUAACUCAAUUCUAAGUCAGCUGCUUGGCUUGUUCCUCAUGAUUAACGUGUCACCUUGGGACACUUUUGUGAGCGAAAAGGGAUGCUAUUAAGGAAUGACGUGGGAAAGCAGAUAUGAACCCGGGCUGCCCUGUGCCAACUGGACAUUUGACCGCUCCACUUAGGAUCAAGCAGAACCCAGCAGCAAUGAAUGAUCACAAUCACGGUGCGAUUUCAUUGAGGGUUUCCAAGGGAUGCUUAUGAUGCCAUUGGGCCCGUCCAGAUAAUCCAGGACUAUCUCCCCAUCUCAAGCAGAACCAUGGGAAGAUGGAGGAAACACCUUCAAGAAGGAGAAGCCCUGAAACUGUGAACUUGACAGUAACUUGAAUCUGACUGCAUAUUUACCCAAGAGAGACUAAAUUUUAAACCAGAAGUAUCUGAAGCAUUAUGAGGUUGAACUGGAAUGCCAUAAAAUGAGCUGUCUUC